rnacentral:rRNA from 1 species
AUGCGGAGGGGGUUAGCGUUGUUCGGAAUUACUGGGCGUAAAGCGCACGUAGGCGGAUUAAAAAGUUAGAGGUGAAAUCCCAGGGCUCAACCCUGGAACUGCCUUUAAAACUAGUAGUCUAGAGUUCGAGAGAGGUGAGUGGAAUUCCAAGUGUAGAGGUGAAAUUCGUAGAUAUUUGGAGGAACACCAGUGGCGAAGGCGGCUCACUGGCUCGAUACUGACGCUGAGGUGCGAAAGCGUGGGGAGCAAACAGGAUUAGAAACCCCGGUAGUCC